AUUGAACGCUGGCGGCAGGCCUAACACAUGCAAGUCGAACGAGUGGCGGACGGGUGAGUAAUGUCUGGGAAACUGCCCGAUGGAGGGGGAUAACUAAUGGAAACGGUAGCUAAUACCGCAUACCAUCGGAUGUGCCCAGAUGGGAUUAGCUAUUAGGUGGUGUAACGGCUCACCUAGGCGACGAUACCUAGCUGGUCUGAGAGGAGGACCAGCCACCCUGGAACUGCGACACGGUCCAGAGUCCUACUGGAGGCAGCAGUUGGGAAUAUUUGACAAUGGGCGCAAGCCUGAUGCAGCCAUGCCGCGUGUAUUAAGAAGGCCUUCGGGUUGUAAAGUACUUUCAGCGAGGAGGCGUUACUCGCAGAAGAAGCACCGGCUAACUCCGUGCCAGCAGCCGCGGUAACUC
rnacentral:rRNA from 1 species